UUUUACCGAUUUCCAUGUGAUGUUGGCAUUCACACAAUGCUUUUUCUACCAUACUUAGAAAGCAUAUAUACAUAUUCUGUCAAACAGGUCAAGCUUUCAAGGGAACUGCCUCCAGAUCAAUGAUCUAAACCAGCGGCCUUCCAUACAAUGCGGCGGUGCUUCACCUGCCAAGAGUCAGCCAGUAAGGGACAACCAAUUCCACCAAAUAGUUGAUCAUGUACNNNNNNNNNNNNNNNNNNNNNNNNNNNNNNNNNNNNNNNNNNNNNNGCUGCUCUCGCUGCUCUCCAGAGAUGCAACAACAAAUCAUCCAUCAUUAUUCCUUGGAAAAAAUCUGCUAGCCUUUCACACUACAGUAUAUAUAGGUUCAGUUUCUAUGUUUUCUACUUUCUAUUCAUGUCGAAUAGUUUGAAUAUCUUUUGAACAUGAUAAUUGAAUUUCAGACCCGGAUAUGUUAAAGGACGUGAGAAGGUAUAGCUGACAAGAGCUUGAAGAGGCCUGCGAAGACUUCAGCAACGUCAUUGGGUCCUCACCGGACAGUGUGGUCUACAAGGGAACCAUGAAAGGUGGACCUGAGAUUGCUGUAAUUUCCCUCUUCAUCAAGGAGGAACAUUGGACAGGAUAUCUGGAACUCUUCUUUCAGAGAGAGGUAAAUGGAAAUAUUUCAAUGCUUACAGUGCAAUAUAGUUGUCAAUGGUAAAUGGAAAUUUACUAUAUAUUAAUUUAUGCUAUUAUUAUUGCCAUUCAGGUGGCAGAAUUGGCUAGGUUAAAUCAUGAGAAUACUGGAAAACUGCUUGGAUAUUGUAAAGAGAGCAAUAUGUUUUUAAGAAUGUUGGUUUUCGACUAUGCUUCCAAUGGGACACUUCACGAGCACCUACAUUGUUUACUCAACACUGAGCUUAAAAUCCUAUUAUAUAUUAAAAGACUACUGAAUACGCUGAAAAUCAUAAUGCCGGAUCCAUUUAAAGAAUGUUCUAGUUCAGUGUUCACUCAGUUCGAUUACAUAAUUUCUGAAGCUGUAAUGACUCCGGUUCCGAAAGCUACAACCUUAACACUCCAGGUUUGUUUUUCAAAUAACUUAUAAAGAGGGAUUUAUUGUGGUGCAUGUUGGGACCAGAACAGAGAAACCAGCUGGGACUGAAAUGAACUGGUCUGCAAUUUGGCGGAUUAAUGCUCCUCCAAAAAUGCGUCACAAAAUUUGGCGAAUUUGUAAGGGACGUUUGCUGACACGUGUUCGGUUAAUACAACGGCGAGUGGAAUGUGAUAUCAUCUGUCCCUACUGCGAUGAGGAAUCAGAAGAGGAUAUGCAUGUGUUGUGUUGUUCAACUGUCAGUAUAUUCGUGAUAGCUGGAAAGCGGUGGUGCAGCAGCGUCUGCAGAGGCGUGGUUCAGUUAUUGAACUGUUAUCGGAGGUCUGUAGCGACGAGGAUGUUAAUGUGGCUGGGCGGGUUGCAGUGCAUCUAUGGUGCCUUUGGCAAAAUCAUAAUGACAAGGUGUGAAAUGAUCAUGCUCUUAAUGCGGUUCAGGUUGGACAACGAUCGUUCUCUAUGUGGCAAGCUUGGUUUGAAGCCCGACAGAUGCAGCAGAGCAUCAGUUCACCUGUGAACAGAAGCACUGUGAGAUGGGAGAAACCGUUGGAAGGGUUGAUCAAAUGCAAUGUCGACACCGGUUUCUCUCAACAANNNNUGUUGCUUUCGUGAUAAUAAUAAUAAUGGUUGUUUUAUUCUGGCUCAAACCUCUUGGCAGCAAUCUACACAGGUGUAGCUCUCCUUGAAUCCAUAAAAUUGGCAGUGCAGCGAGGUUAUGACCGAGUCGUGUUUGAAAGUGAUUCUCAAACCUUGGUGAACUCUAUCUAUGCGAGACAUUGAGAUUUUUGAGUUUAGUAUGAUUAUUCAUAAAAUUAAGUAGUUGUUAGUUGUUUUUCUAAACUUUGAAGUAAGUUUAUAAGAAGACAGGCGAAUUCGGUUGCUCACACCCUUGCAAGGGCGCCCAAUUCUUGGGCUAGUCACCGCUUCUUUGAGUUUAUUCCUUCUUGUAUUGAACUUGUGUUGUUUAAUGAAAUGAGUUAAAUGUGUUUUGAAAAAAUAAAAAAAAUAAAAAACAGAAUCAUAAAUUCAUAAUGCAAUAGAUACUGUUAUGACCCUGAGGUCACUCUAGUAUGUGAAUUUUUUUUUGAUUCAAAGGUAUAAUUUAAUCUUUAAUUUAUCUAAUUUCGUAAAAUUAACUAAUGGGUGGUUCAAAUUCUCUUAUAGUUACGGUUUUCGACCAUCUUAUUUAUAAGCAAUUAUUUACUUCCAAAACAAUCCAGUCAACAAGACAUUAUAUUAAAGUAGCAGUAUAGAAACAAUUCGAUCGAGAAUAAAAUCAAGAAACAGACUUAACCAAAAAGAAAUAAUCAAGAAACAUAAAAAAAAAAAUAAAAAAUACAGCAAUAUAGACCCAUGAUAAUAAGAAUGGCCAAAACAAGGUAUUACAUUAAAGUUGUAGUAUCACAAUUAAAACCUAAUUCAAGAUCGAAGUGUGGAAAUUAACUUCUUUGCAUCAUAGGCCGAACCUAAAGUAGCACUAUAGAAACAAUUCGAUCAAGAAUAAAAUCAAGAAACAGACUUAACCAAAAAGAAAUAAUCAAGAAACAUAAAAAAAAAAUUAAAAAAUACAGCAAUAUAGACCCAUGAUAAUAAGAAUGGUCAAAACAAGGUAUUACAUUAAAGUUGUAGUAUCACAAUUAAAACCUAAUUCAAGAUUGAAGUGUGGAAAUUAACUUCUUUGCAUCAUAGGCCGAACCUAAAUUAAGUCUGAACUUUUCCAAAGAAUUCUUAAAUUCCUCAAGAGAUUGUAAAUCCAUAUCAUCAAUAGGAUUAUUCCACCAACAAGAGNNNNNNNNNNNNNNNNNNNNNNNNNNNNNNNNNNNNNNNNNNNNNNNNNNNNUUUCUCAAGUUUAUCUCCAAUUGCCUCAUAGUCAAGCCUUAGGGUUUCAACAAUCUUCUCUUGCUUCUUUUUCUCACUAUCUUGAAUGGUGUCUUUUCCGGUCAAAAAUUGUUGAAUCACCGCAUCGCAAUUAGGAUAGCCACAUGUAUAGAGCUCGUUGUUGGAUGAUGUGACAAUGAGUGCAGUUUUUGCGUUGCAUAGAACAGAGAGCUCUGUUGCUUUGUUGAAAAGUGUAAGUGUAGAAUUUGAGAACGUCAUUUGAGACUUGUGUGAUUUUUUCGCUUUCUUGAUUUCACCAAAUUUUCUCUUCCGAGUGUUGAGUUUUGUUGCAUCGUUAUUUCCAUCGAAAGCCAUUAAACUUUAUCUCUUGAGCAAACAAAGAAAAAACAAUAAAAACUUCAAGUUAAGUGUAUUGGUAAUGCUAGUUUCUCAAUGUUGUGUUAUGACAUACAAUAUUCCUUUUAAUAAAUGCAAAAAGAUUCUAUCUAAAAUAAAAUCUUUUAUAAAAUCUUAUUAUUAAUAAAUGCAAAAGGAUUUUAUUUAAAAUCAAAUCUCUUAAAUCAUAAUUUGCUUCAAAAAUAAUAAAUAUAAUUUUUUUUUAUAAAAUCCUAAUAAAUAUAAAAUCUUUUAUAAUAUCAAUCGACGACAACUACGACGAGCUGAACCCUAAAUUGGUAACGCAAAUUUCAUUCUCCAAUUUCAUUCUCCAACGGUUGUGAUGGUAAAGCAAAUUUCAUUCUCCAAUUUUCCAAAUAACCAAUCAGAUUCAUAGCUGAUAAUUCACGCAACUUAUGACAUGUUUACAUCUUAUUGCAAUUAGCUCUUUAUAGAAAAUAGCUUAUAAUUUUUAUAUGAAAAUAGUUAGACCUUGUUUGUUCUUUUGCUAUAGAAAUAGUGUGUUUGGAUUAACUUAUUUGAGUUUAUCUAUUGGCAUAAUCACUCGUGACAUUGUUUGAUAGAGCUUAUGAACAUCUUCAUAGACUGUUUUCAGCUUAUUUCUAUAAUUUAUCGAGGAUAGCUUAUGAAAACAGUUUAUAGAUUAUGCAAAAAUAGUUUCAAUUUAUUUUAUAUUUUUUUAUAGUAAUAGAAAUAGCUUAUACAUAGAGUUUAUAUCAUGAUAACAGCUUACGCUAUAAGCUGCAAAUUACCUAGAAAGAAAUCCGGCUAGAGUUAUUUCUCCGUUCAAUUUUAUUGCCGAAUAUUCUCGAUUUUGACAGUGUGUUGUUUUAUCUGAUACUAGCAGUUUUUUGUAUUGUUGUGCAUGUUAGGAUAUGUUUCUUACUUGACACAUUUAGCUUGAUUAAAAAAAGGACUUAUUGCUACUAGGAAGAAAUUGCUUAUAAACUGGUUAUUAUAUACUUGUCAGGAAAUAAAUUGGUUAUGUUGUGAGAAAAAUGUAUGUAGUAAGAUGUUCUAAUAGCUCAAAGGUUGGUCUUAGAAGUACUAUAUGAAUUGUUGACCAAUGAAUUGUUCUUGAACUUGCUUGUUGUACUUACAUUUAGCUUCUUCUUUGCUCCCCUUUUUCAGGUUUAUGCAAAGUCAAGGUGAAUGAUAUCAUUGCUGCUUUUUAUACAAAAAGGUGAAGUGUUAAAUGGAUCUGGCAUUAUGAUUUUCAGCGUAUUCAGUAGUCUUUUAAUAUACAAUAGGAUUUUAAGCUCAGUAUUCAGUAUAAAAUGUCAAGUUAUUACUCUAAUCGAAGUUUGGAUUCUGUUAAUCUAUCUCAUUGUUUUCAUAAUUUCUCCAGGUAUGCAUCAACCAAAAAUGCAACUGGCUUCUGUCGAUCGCCUCAGUUAAAAAUAGCAGACUUUUCAUAUAAUUUUUUAGUUGGUAGUAUAACAAAAUGCUUGGAGUUUUUUCCAAGGCGAUUUUACCGAUUUCCAUGUGACGUUGGCAUUCACACAAUGCUUUUUCUACCAUACAUAGAAAGCGUAUAUACAUAUUCUGUCAAACAGGUCAAGCUUUCAAGGGAACUGCCUCCAGAGCAAUGAUCUAAACCAGCGGCCUUCCAUACAAUGCGGCGGUGCUUCACCUGCCAAGAGUCAGCCAGUAAGGGACAACCAAUUCCACCAAAUAGUUGAUCAUGUACGCAAGCGUCACAGAUCAUCGAAACCUACUUAGCUUUUGGCU
rnacentral:lncRNA from 1 species